GGGCUGUCCCUUGUCUGUAAAAUGGGGAUGAUGACACGUGGAGAUGACUGAGCACCGUGCCUGGCGGUAGUGAUGGGUCCCUGUUCAUGCAUUUUCCGUUCUUGUCCUGUUGUCUCUGCAGCCAGGGUCCCCUACACUGCAAGCAGUCUCUUCCUUUCCGUUCCUCAGUGGGUUUCCUGUGCUUUCUGGUGUCUCCUCCUUAAUUUGGGGGUAUUCUCUAUUACUCUCAAGGAGCCUGUUUCAUAUUCUGAGAGCUCUCCUUCACAGGUCAAGAGGUACGGCAUUUCUUCUUUUUUUUUUUUUUGCAUUUUGAGAUUUUUGACUUUGGAGACACAGAUCUAUCCUUUCAGCUAAAUCUACCAACCCACUGCACCUGCACUUCUAGAUGCUGAUUUCCUUCCUGCUCAAACACCCACACUCUGAUCUGUGUGUCUGUCCAGGGCCUGUCUUGCUUGUGCUCAACUCUGUCACCUCUCACCCACUCAGGGACAUCUCUCUAAAUCGAUCCUACUCUCUCUACGUCAGUAAUUUCCCCUCUUCCCUGGUCGCCUCAUCAGCAUUCAGAAUACCUUCCAUCUUGAAAUAUGCACUCUUGAACCCCCUUCUAUUGGUAGCAAUUUUCUGUCUUCUCCUCCCUUUCCCUGCAAGACUUUUCAAAAGAAUUAUCUGCACUCUUUCCUUCCUUUUGUCCAUUCUCAUUAUUUUGGCUUUUAUUUUUCCCUUUUAGGGCUGCACCCACCGCAUAUGGAAGUUCCCAGGCUAGGGGUCCAAUUGGAGUUGUAGCUGCCGGCCUAUGCCACAGCCACAGCCGAAGCAGCAUGGGAUCCAAGCCGGGUCUGCGACCUACACCACAGCUUAUGGUAGCACCAGAUCCUUAACCCACUGAGCAGGGCUAGGGAUCGAACCAUCAUCCUCAUGGAUCCUAGUUGGGUUCAUUUCUGCUUUGCCACAGCGGGAACUCCUGUUUGCUUAUUUUUAAUUCCUUUUUUUUUUUUUUUGGUCUUUUUUAGGGUCACACUCACAGCAUAUGGAGGUUCCCACGGUAGGGGGCUGAAUCGGAGCUGCAGCUGCCAGCCUACACCACAGCCACAGCAACACGGAAUCCAAGCCGAGUCUGCGACCUACACCACAGCUUAUGGUAGCACCAGAUCCUUAACCCACUGAGCGAGGCCAGGGAUCAAACCUGCGUCCUCGUGGAUGCUAGUCGGGUUCACUAACCCCUGAGGGAAUUCCAAUUUGCCUAUUUUUAUAAAAGUUGCGUGUAUGUGUCUAAGUUAGGGCUGUGUACACGAUUGUGCACACGCGCAUGCUAAUGGACAUUUGGCCCCGAAUUGUGUCCCUGAAGUGGCUCCAGGGACUGAGGGUGGGAUUGGAGGAGCAGGGGAGGGGACCGUCACUUCUUACAGUUUAUACUUUUGAAAGAAUGACGAGAUUGUGUAUGAUUUUUACCUUUCCUUUUUUGUAUUUUGAUUAAAAGAUAGAAAAAAUUGUCAAAAGUAUUUUUCCCGGUGUAGAUGACUAUGUUUUAUAUUUCAGAGCGAAAUUUUCUCCCUUGUUGGAAAAGUUACAGGAUGCAGUGUAUGCUGCUGAGGUUUUUACUUUCUUAAUCCAUUUCUAGCUGCUGCUUCUAGUAUUGAAUUUUUAUGGUUCCUUCUGUUCCACAUCCCUAUCCUCAUUUCAAAGGAGUCGUAAUCUGUACUUUAAUUAUAUUUCCUUUUACAAUAUUUAGUUGAAGUCGAUUUCAUGAUCUUCAUACUUGUUUCAUAUGCUUUCUCAAGUUUUUAAUUCUUACCACUAUUUAGUACUCUUAUAAUGAAAAUAUGUGCCUAGUAUCAUCUUACAUUCCAUUCUCUGUGGGGUAACUCAGGGUGAUUUACGGCCUCUGAUUUUUCACAUUCUCGCUCACGAAGCAGCAAAUGGUAUUCUCAGAUUUUUGGAAGUUCUUCUCAUUCAGGGGGAGACGUUAGGUUUUGAGUUGCAGAUGCCGUUUCCUGACUGUCCUUCUCUGGUUGUGUUGGUUUUAGGGUCCUGUCCAAAGUCCAGUCAUGCUCGUUCCAAGGGAGUCCGAUGGUCCUGACCUGUUCCCCUCAUUGUCUCCUUUCAUCGGGGGAACACUUAGAUCACUGCACAUUUUCAAAAACUGAAGCAUAGUUGAUUUACAGUGUUGUGUUAAUUUUAGGUGUACAGCAAUGUGAGUCAAAUACAUAUCUUGUUGUUUAUCUCUUUUAUGUACAGUAGUGUGUAUCUGUUAAUCACAAACUCCUAAUUUAUCCCUCCUCCCUUUUUCCUCUUUGGCAACCGUAAGUUUGUUUUCUAUGUCUGUGAGUCUUCUUCUGUUUUGUUGGCAUUAUUUUUUAGAUUACACAUAUAAGAGGUUGCUUCGCAUUUUUAUUUAUUUAUUUAUUUGGUCAUACCCAUGGCAUGUGGAAGUUCCUGGGCCAGGGAUUGAACCUGAGCCAUAGCAGUGACCCGAGCUACUGCAGUGACAAUGCCGGAUCCUUAAGCCACUGUGCCAUAAGAGAACUCCUACAUUAAAAAAAAAAAAAAA
rnacentral:lncRNA from 9 species